GAUCCUGGCUCAGAAUCAACGCUGGCGGCGUGCCUCAGACAUGCAAGUCGAACGCGAAAGGCCCCUUCGGGGGCCGAGUAGAGUGGCGCACGGGUGAGUAACACGUAGGUAAUCUACCUCUGGGUGGGGAAUAACGACCGGAAACGGUCGCUAAUACCGCAUAAUGCAGCGGCACCACAUGGUGACAGUUGUUAAAGCGGGGGAUCGUAAGACCUCGCGCCUAGAGAUGAGCCUGCGGCGGAUUAGCUAGUUGGCAGGGUAACGGCCUACCAAGGCGACGAUCCGUAGCCGGCCUGAGAGGGCGGACGGCCACACUGGCACUGACAUACGGGCCAGACUCCUACGGGAGGCAGCAGUCGGGAAUUUUGGGCAAUGGGCGAAAGCCUGACCCAGCAACGCCGCGUGAAGGAUGAAGCUUUUCGGAGUGUAAACUUCAUAAGAAUGGGACGAAUAAGGAGGGGUUAACACCCCCUUUGAUGACGGUACCAUUUGUAAGCUCCGGCUAACUCCGUGCCAGCAGCCGCGGUAAUACGGGGGGAGCAAGCGUUGUUCGGAUUUACUGGGCGUAAAGGGCGCGUAGGCGGCGCAACAAGUCACUUGUGAAAUCUCCGGGCUUAACCCGGAGCGGCCAAGUGAUACUGUCGUGCUAGAGUGCGGAAGGGGCUACUGGAAUUCUCGGUGUAGCGGUGA
rnacentral:rRNA from 1 species